GAGACUGAAGUUUGGGACGGAAAGCCGGCAGAGCCGCAGAGGAGGCAGAGAGCAAGUGCAGUGAGGACGUGAUGGGAGGAAAUGUGUGCGUUCUUCUUUCGUACAAGUGUUGCUUCCGAGGACUCUCCACAGAACCUGAAUUCUACCGUGGUGCACGGUAUCGCCCAAAUUUGGAAUUGUAGUGCUGUGGUGACUGAAGUCUGCUUAUUGUGAAGAGGCAGCCUCAUUGCUGAAGUCGAAGAAAUUCCUCAAAAGCUUCUGCCACAUCUCCCUCCAGCUCCUCCACUGCUGGCGACCAUCUAGUGCAAGGAAGAGAAAACCAAGAUUAAACACACAA